rnacentral:rRNA from 1 species
GACAGAGGCCCCAAGCGUUAGGCGGAAUCACUGGGCUUAAAGCGUGUGUAGGCGGACGCCUAAGUGUCUUGUGAAAUCCCACGGCUCACCCGUGGAACUGCUGGGCAUACUGGGCGUCUUGGGCCAACUAGGGGCAGCCGGAACAAGCGGUGGAGCGGUGAAAUGCGUAGAUAUCAGGAGGAACACCGGUGGCGAAGGCGGGUCUCUGGGCCGAUACUGACGCUGAGGAGCGAAAGCGUGGGGGAGCGAACAGG